UAGGAUCCGUAUAGUUUAAUGCGUAAUCAAUUCCCUCAUCUUGAGAUGUACGACGCACGUAUUCAACAGCUUGCCAGUAGGUUUCAUUUUUAACUCCACCCCAUUCCAAAGAUGCCAAAAAUCCAUCUUGACCAGAUGAAAAAGCGGGUACAAUAUUUGGUUUUCCUCCUUCUGUUCCCAUAUAUUUAUUGUUAUAUUCAACAAUAUCCUCUAAAGAAUGUAUCUCUGUAUUUUUUACUUCUGAUAAAUAACUUUUUAUAUUGUUGUAGAAAUCCACUUUGACAACCGUAUAUUCUGAUUCAUUGACGGAACCCAAUUCCCAAUUCCAUCCAUCAUUAGAAAUUACAUCCAGGUUAUAAAAAUUUGUAUUGUUGUAAACAAUAGCCCCGGCUUCUUCGAUUUGUUUAACUACCUCUAAUAAACGAUCAAUUUCGUCAGCCUUAGCAUUUUGCCAAAGCCUUUUCCAUGGAAGUCCAAAUCUCGCGCCUUCUAAAGAUGUUUUGUUGGAUAAAAAUUUCAUGUAAUCACCAUCUUCAGGAGUCUUUCCUGUCUGGUUCAAAGUGUAAAUAUCAUUUUCAUCAAUACCCCACAUAGACUGGAAAACAUAAACAGCGUCUCGAACUGUUCUGGCAAUUGGGCCUGUUGUGUCUUGGUGUUCAGACUCUGGAAUAACGCCAUAUCGAGAGGUCAGUCCUACUGUGGGCUUCAAACCUACAACCCCAUUUCGCAUGGCUGGGUCAAUUAUACUUCCAUCAGUUUCAGUCCCCAAUGCAAAUGCAAUCAUGUUUGAGGCAACUGAUAUUGCGGACCCAGAUGAUGAGCCGCCCGGAUUCACUGUUAGAUUAAAUGGGCACCUUGAUUGCCCACCACGUGCAGAAUAGCCCUCACUGUAGUCAUUAGACCUCAUAUCUGCCCAUUCUGAAAGCGUCGCAUGUCCAAAUAGUACUGCCCCUGCCUCUCUCAAUUGCUUGACUACGUACGCGUCUCUAGGAACGAUUGAGCCCAACAAAGCAUAAGAACCAGCUGUGGUGUCCAUCUUGUCUUUUGUUGCAAAAUUAUCUUUCACUAUAAAUGGGAUACCAUGUAGUGGUCCUCUAAUUAUCCCAUUAGCUCGUUCAUCAUCUAGUUCCGAAGCAAUUGUCAAUACGUCAGGGUUAAGUUGUAGAAUUCCAUUAACGUAGGGAUUUACUUGUAGAUACC